GGGUGACCUGCGGAGGGAUCAUUACACAACAAAAUAUGAAGGCCUGGCUUCGCGGCCGGCUGAAAUAUUUUUUUCACCCAUGUCUUUUGCGCACUUGUUGUUUCCUGGGCGGGUUCGCCCGCCACCAGGACCAAACCAUAAACCUUUUUUUUAUGCAGUUGCAAUCAGCGUCAGUAAAAACAAUGUAAUUAUUACAACUUUCAACAACGGAUCUCUUGGUUCUGGCAUCGAUGAAGAACGCAGCGAAAUGCGAUACGUAGUGUGAAUUGCAGAAUUCAGUGAAUCAUCGAAUCUUUGAACGCACAUUGCGCCCUUUGGUAUUCCAAAGGGCAUGCCUGUUCGAGCGUCAUUUGUACCUUCAAGCUUUGCUUGGUGUUGGGCGUUUUUUGUCUCCCUCUUUCUGGGAGACUCGCCUUAAAACGAUUGGCAGCCGGCCUACUGGUUUCGGAGCGCAGCACAUAUUUUGCGCUUUGUAUCAGGAGAAAAGGACGGUAAUCCAUCAAGACUCUACAUUUUUAACUUUUGACCUCGGAUCAGGUAGGGAUACCCGCUGAACUUAAGCAUAUCAAUAAG
rnacentral:rRNA from 1 species